rnacentral:rRNA from 1 species
CAACUCUCAACAACGGAUAUCUUGGCUCCCGCACCGAUGAAGAACGCAGCGAAAUGCGAUACCUAGUGUGAAUUGCAGAAUCAUGUGAAUCAUCGAGUCUUUGAACGCAAAUUGCGCCCGAGGUUUAGGCCAAGGGCAUGGCUGGCUCAGCGUCGACGC